AGUGUCUGGUGGGUAGUUUGACUGGGGCGGUCUCCUCCUAAAGAGUAACGGAGGAGCACGAAGGUUGGCUAAUCCUGGUCGGACAUCAGGAGGUUAGUGCAAUGGCAUAAGCCAGCUUGACUGCGAGCGUGACGGCGCGAGCAGGUGCGAAAGCAGGUCAUAGUGAUCCGGUGGUUCUGAAUGGAAGGGCCAUCGCUCAACGGAUAAAAGGUACUCCGGGGAUAACAGGCUGAUACCGCCCAAGAGUUCAUAUCGACGGCGGUGUUUGGCACCUCGAUGUCGGCUCAUCACAUCCUGGGGCUGAAGUAGGUCCCAAGGGUAUGGCUGUUCGCCAUUUAAAGUGGUACGCGAGCUGGGUUUAGAACGUCGUGAGACAGUUCGGUCCCUAUCUGCCGUGGGCGCUGGAGAAUUGAGGGGGGCUGCUCCUAGUACGAGAGGACCGGAGUGGACGCAUCACUGGUGUUCGGGUUGUCAUGCCAAUGGCACUGCCCGGUAGCUAAAUGCGGAAGAGAUAAGUGCUGAAAGCAUCUA
rnacentral:rRNA from 1 species